GGGGUUGUGGCUCAGUGGUAGAGCAUGCACCUUGCAUGUGUGAGGCACUGGGUUCAAUCCUCAGCACCACA
rnacentral:tRNA from 1 species